rnacentral:rRNA from 1 species
GACUCCAUGAAGCUGGAUUCGCUAGUAAUCGCGCAUCAGCCACGGCGCGGUGAAUACGUUCCCGGGCCUUGUACACACCGCCCGUCAAGCCAUGGAAGCCGGGAGUGCCUGAAGUACGCGACCGCAAGGAGCGUCCUAAGGUAAAACCGGUGACUGGGGCUAAGUCGUAACAAGGUACC